GGGAGAGGGGCUGAGGCCAGGCUUCCUGGCUAAUGCUCACCACCUGUUCCCCAGCGGCUGUGUGUUCCCGUCACCAUGGCAGCAGACAGGUAAAGUCUGGGUUCCAGCAGGUCCUCCCCUCUCCCAGGGUGGGGGGACUCUGCCUGGUCCAAUCUCUGUGCACCCAGGAGGUCAUGAAGGGGGAGGGAGCAGUGGGGCAGCAGGACAGCUGUGUCCACAUUCUGAAUCUGGGGCCAAGACCUGUACUGCAUGCUUUCCACGUCCCUGCUGCUAUUUGUCCUUCAGGGAUCUAUCCUUAUUCCCUUUGUGAGUGAUCAAGUGUCCCCCAGAUCCACUUUGGCGGCUGGGAACAGCCUGCCUCAUCUCUCCCAGAGUCACAGAAUAUCUGAGUUGCAUGGGAUCUCAGGCACAAUCCAGCCCAUCCCUGCACAAGAAGCCUCCCUGCGUUGUCUCCAACACGCUCUUCCAGCCCAGGCGUGAAGACCUCCAGCAGUGGAGAGGCAUCCCCAGCUACUCUGGGACAGCUUCUCCAGAACUCAAGGAAUCCCCUCCCUUCACAUGUGGGCAGCCGUUGGCCGUGGUCUAGCUCGGGGUGUGAACGAGCAGCACUCCCUCCCCCCCACAAGCCUCCUUCCCUUCCUCCUCAGCCCUCCUCAGUGCUGAACUCCUCAGGAAAUGCCGCAUCCCCGUGUGACAAUCCACAAUCGGAUAUUUGGCUUUAGAAAGGCUGAGCAGGGGCGGGGGUCACUGCCCUGACUUCUUUAAGAUCUGCCCCAUGAACCUUGCCGCCCCACCUUCUCCUUCUCUGCAAUGACGUCCAGGUACGAGAAAUGUGGCCGCCGUCAGGAUUAACAGCCGUGCGCACGGGCACUGAAGCCCAGAACUCUGGGCUCAGCUGGUUAGAGCGUGGACGUUGCCUUCAAGCGGACCUGCCCGAACCGCCUCGUGUAGCUGCUUGCCGUUGCUGGGUCCCCUCUGGCCUCUCUUCUCUGUCAUCCCGCUGAAUUUCGUGGCAGGGAUUCUGCUGGACGUUCCACAGUCAAGGUCGGUGUUCCUCUCCCCUCGCUCUGACAGGCAGAGCAUGGGAGGGGAAAGAGUGUGAUCGCUGGACCCAAGACUGGCCGAGGUCUGGUGCUGCCUUCUCUGCCCGACCGAGUAACCUCGGACGGGUUCCUUUGACACGAAGAGCCUCAGUUUACUCCUCUGCCAAAUGGGGCCAGGAAUUUUCAAGAUCUCUGCCUCCCAGAGCUGCUAAAAAGAAAGCUUUCGUGAGCCCCAAAGCCAGAGCAAGCUGAACCAUCCUUUCUUUCUCCUGUUGGCUUACUGUGUGCUGACCUAAAAAACCCUCACCUAUCAACUAUGCCAUGGGAGUAAACAGGGGAGGGACUCUGCAAAAGGAGAGCUGACUCUCUAAGGAAGCACAAGGGGACAAUGAAGGAGACAUAAAAACAAAUCCGUUUAACAAUAAAGAAAAUGAAGGAUUUGGCCUCAAUGAUGGCUAAGCUGCUUUCUCUUCUCUGUCCAAUGAUCGCCUUUCGACCGCCACCUUCUGGCUCCUCAGGAGACUGCAGCUGCCAGCCUUUGUUUUCCCAUCUUUAGAUUGGGGGCCUUUAGAUUUAGAAAGCAUGCUGGACCUGUGCUUUCUUGACCUGGACAGGAGCUGUUUCCCGGGGGCUGACCCCACCUGCUUCCUCUACAUCUCAGGAGGCCAGACGCGUGAUUCAGCCGGACUAGAACAGAGCAACACAAUGAAUCCAGCUCUAGUUGGCUGAGCUCUGUCCAGUGAGCUGGAGACCCACCAGGGCCAUACUUGAAGCCUGUUCAGCUUGGCAGGCCCUGGCAGAGCUUUCCAGAGCCAGUUUUAUGUCCACACCAGGAAAAUACAGGGACCUGUGCUGGGAGUCACAAUAAAUUGAUCACAUUUCAAAAAUGCUUCCUGCGAAGCACUUGUAUAUUCAUCAUCUGAGUCGGUGCCCAUGGCAGCCCUAUCGAAGAGGCAGGACAGGUCUGUCCCCUAUUUCAUACAUGAAGAAACUGAGGCCAGAACCUAUAGGACCACAGAGACAGCGUAUAUAAAUGGUGGGGCUUGAACCCUGGGCUGUGUGACUUGAAGACUGUAUCUGUACCAACAAAAGAAUCAUGGACACGGAAGGCACCUCGGAGGUCAUCUAGCUAGAUGCCCCAUCUGAAGUGUGUCCUCUCCAUGACAUACCUGACACGUGGUCACGUAGCCUCUUUUUUUUUAAAGCCCCACAGUGACAAAGAACUCCCUACAGUGAAGAGGCUCAUUCCACUGGGAGCAGCUCGGAUGGUGACCACUUCCUGUCCACCUCCUCUCCACAAGGUCUGGUCUGCCCCCACACUGACCAGCAUCCACAUUGCCCCUCAGCCCACCUCAGUCUUGGACUCCCCCACCCCCACAACUGACUGUGAUGGGCGUGAGCUUGCCCCUCCCCAGCCACAUUCACACCCGCCUCCCUGCUCCAAGCCACCCCCUCUGCCCCACUCCCCUUCGGACAUAGUCUUCCCCCACAGACAGCUGGAAGAAUGCAGCUCGCUGAACAACUUAUACUAUAGCAACAAUACUGUCGAGAUAAACCUUUCUGAAAGACUUUGGGACUCCAGCCAACAUAAUGAGCACCCACAGUUCCAAAGGACUCAUGGUGAGGACCUGCUGCCCUCCUCCACAUACAGCAGCUGUGCCCAAGGGCAGACAAAGCAUGGACAAGGCGGGAAUCAGUUGGCUUGACUCUGCAGAUGUGCAAUGGACUUAAUUGUUCUUGCUUUCUUAGAGGAAGAGGGGGAAAGGAAGGUAGAAAGCAGAGAAUUCAG